GACGAACGCUGGCGGCGUGCCUAAUACAUGCAAGUAGAACGCUGAAGGAGGAGCUUGCUUCUCUGGAUGAGUUGCGAACGGGUGAGUAACGCGUAGGUAACCUGCCUGGUAGCGGGGGAUAACUAUUGGAAACGAUAGCUAAUACCGCAUAAGAGUAGAUGUUGCAUGACAUUUGCUUAAAAGGUGCAAUUGCAUCACUACCAGAUGGACCUGCGUUGUAUUAGCUAGUUGGUGAGGUAACGGCUCACCAAGGCAACGAUACAUAGCCGACCUGAGAGGGUGAUCGGCCACACUGGGACUGAGACACGGCCCAGACUCCUACGGGAGGCAGCAGUAGGGAAUCUUCGGCAAUGGACGGAAGUCUGACCGAGCAACGCCGCGUGAGUGAAGAAGGUUUUCGGAUCGGAAAGCUCUGUUGUAAGAGAAGAACGAGUGUGAGAGUGGAAAGUUCACACUGUGACGGUAUCUUACCAGAAAGGGACGGCUAACUACGUG
rnacentral:rRNA from 1 species